rnacentral:misc_RNA from 1 species
UCAAACUUGGUCAUUUAGAGGAAGUAAAAGUCGUAACAAGGUUUCCGUAGGUGAACCUGCGGAAGGAUCAUUACAGAUUAUUUUCAAAAAUGAAUUGGGGUUGGGUUGUUGCUGGCUUUUUCCUUUUUUUCAAAAGGAAAGCAUGUGCACACCUUACUUCAGUUUUUUUGAUCACCUGUGCACCUUGUGUAGAUUUUGAACAUUUUUUGUUCCUCAGUGAGGAUGUGAACUUCUUUCUGGAUUGAGAAGAUGGCUUCAAUUAACAGUAGACUCUUCUUGCAAAAGUUCAAAUUCUAUGUAUAUUUUUUCUCUAUAUACACAUUGUUAUCGGAAUGAUUGAUGAAACUAAAAAUUGUAAAAACAACUUUCAACAACGGAUCUCUUGGCUCUCGCAUCGAUGAAGAACGCAGC